UCCACUUCCUCAACUUGCUUCUAUCUAGCUUCUGCCCCGAUCAUUCCUCUAAAAAUUGCUCUCCCUGAAGCCACCAGCUGCUUCUGAAUGUUCUUCCCUCGGGAGUAUGUUGGUGGGUCCGGGAAGGGAAGGCACCCUCAGGUAAAUAAUAACCCAGAAUAGAGUGGAUUGAGUAGAAGGGAGAGGACAAGGAUACAAGAGGUGAGGCAAUGUCAUCCAACUUGAAAGAAUGGCGCAGAACCAGAGUUGGAUCCAAACACUUACCUUGUCCAAGAGCCAGGCAUUCCAGUUAGAAGUCUGUUCACCUGAGCAGAAGACAGAGUCCAGAAACAAGCCAAUUCCAAAUACGUAAUAAACCGAAAAACCAAAGUAGUCCCAGAAGGAAGAGUGCAAGGAGUUGGAAGGCCAAGAGGAAUUCCAAAUUCAGCAACCUACCAGCUGCACUUGGCUGGGCUUUCCUGGGAAUAUGUGAUGAAAUGUACAGACCUACAAUGUUAUCUCUUUCAGAAAUGAGAGAUGGGCUCCCAGGGCACUCCUGUACUGGAUAUGUCAACACAGUGCCUGCCACACCCAACUUCCUCUUUGAGAUGAAAGUGCCCCACCCACAGCCCCCUGCUUUGAGAAGCAGAGGUUUAUCCCUGGACUCCGUGGACUGCUGCAGGGGUUAGUCUCCUGGAGAGAGCAGGGCCCCUGCAUCUCUUUCUGACAAAAGAUGGCAGACAUAAACAAGAGGAAGUUUGAAAGAAAGAGAAACGGCUAAUUCUCAGCAAGCUUUCAUAUGUCUUCGGAAGGCUUGGCAUCCACGGCUCCUUCAGGAUGAACACCUGUGUCUGCUACGCUUUGCAUCAAGUGACUUCUCCAUGCCUUUCUUGUGUCUUUUUUUCUCAGCUCCUUUCCAUUGCCUCCUUUAUGUUUUCUCACUGCCUAGCUCUUCCCAAUAGCACCACCCCGAGUGGUUCUAGGGCAAAAUAGUAAAGCAUUCUACAUUUGU